GAUGUCUCAGUGGCAAUCAUACCACAUCUUAUUUUUUAUAUGUUCCGACUUAAGUCAAGCAUGUCUAAACUGUCACUGAUGUCGAUACUUAUAGUAUUACCGUACUUACAAGACUCUCAUGUGUAGUCAAGGUUGUUAAAAAAAAACAGCAUAGUUUUUAGUUAUUCAUCAAUCCAUAAAUUUCACACAGCUCUUAUUCGUUUAUAAGUAUA
rnacentral:lncRNA from 1 species